rnacentral:lncRNA from 1 species
UCUUUCCCUGGCUGACAGAACUCUGCCUUCGAGUAGGUGUUGGGGGUCAUGCCCUUCAUGAAAGGAGGAGUUUCUCUCUCAUCUCUCACACAGUGAGGAAUAUUCUAUUUAAAUUACAUGUUGAAUUAGCCAACUUUGGAGAAUUCUCUACCACCUAGUUUAUGUUGUAAGUCAAAAAACAAAUUAUUCUGCCAAGCAAGGAGCAUGUUUUAGCUUAGUCACCACAGAAGAAACAGAUCACUUUUAAUUAUGACAUUUCAUCAACACUUGGCAAGUAAGAAAGAUGGGUUGAAAGACUGCAUCAGAAAUAUUCUAGAGUUAUUUUCCUGCUAACAUGGAAACAAAAAGAUUCAAUGUGAGAAGAAAAAAUAGAUUCCUAAUGGUCAAGAGAACAAGAAAAUUAGAUAGAAACUUAAAUAUAAAGUACCCGGAAGUCAAAAUGUUUGAAAUGACACUUAGAGCCUUAAUUAACCAGAUUUUAAGA